UCCAUUGUGGUGUAAUGGUAACACAACAGACUACGAGUCUGGAGACCUGAGUUCAAUCCUCGGCAAUGGAA